rnacentral:rRNA from 1 species
AGUGAACGCUGGCGGUAGGCCUAACACAUGCAAGUCGAACGGCAGCACAGGAGAGCUUGCUCUCUGGGUGGCGAGUGGCGGACGGGUGAGGAAUACAUCGGAAUCUACUUUUUCGUGGGGGAUAACGUAGGGAAACUUACGCUAAUUCCGCAUACGACCUACGGGUGAAAGCAGGGGACCUUCGGGCCUUGCGCGAUUGAAUGAGCCGAUGUCGGAUUAGCUAGGUGGGGGGGUAAAGGCCCACCAAGGCGACGAUCCGUAGCUGGUCUGGGAGGAUGAUCAGCCACACUGGAACUGCGACACGGUCCAGAGUCCUACGGGAGGGAGCAGUGGGGAAUAUUGGACAAUGGGCGCAAGCCUGAUCCAGCCAUACCGCGUGGGUGAAGAAGGCCUUCGGGUUGUAAAGCCCUUUUGUUGGGAAAGAAAUCCAGCUGGCUAAUACCCGGUUGGGAUGACGGUACCCAAAGAAUAAGCACCGGCUAACUUCGUGCCAGCAGCCGCAGUAA